CCCAUACCCAGCAUCCAAAGCGAGAAAGGCCGGCCCCAUUUCCUCUUCUCAGCCGGAGACCGAGAAGAGAAGUCCUGCCUGGCCACAGUCACCCCUUUGGAGCUCUUGGGAAGAGGUAUUCAUCUGUGGGCCCUUGCCUGUUACAACCCUCUCUGAUUCAGGGUCUUACCGAAUCUGGCUUGGCCACCCUUCUGCACCACGACCCAUGGAUAGGGGACAGUGGACUGAUCCAGCAAGCACUUAGCUGAAUGGUGACUCAGCCAUAACACCAACCAAGUUUUACAGAUAAUCAAACAACACUACAAGAAGCUGAGGAAGGGGGAAGACCUGAUGACUCCCGCCCAGCGCCUUCCCACCAGGGCCACGGGGUCAGAGGUCAGGCAGUCCUAAGCCCAAUACCAAAGACUCCACCUCCAGAAUGGACAGCUGCUGUACCCAACCAAAGAACGUCAGCACUCCAUUCGUCCCCAUCCAACCUUGGACUCGGACAAGCCAUCCAUCCCUAGAAGCUCAUGCUAGAUCCUUCCUACCACAGAAAGAGUCAAGAGGUUUAAGCUGCUGCCUCCCAGACUGUGGCUGAAGAGGCCCCUCCCCACAUACCAGGUGUGGUGUGGAAAGACUAAGCUGGAAAAUGGGAGAAGGGCAAUAGGAAGUAGGUGAGCCUGGCUGACCCACUGGGCCACUUCCUACACACACACACACACACACACA